CCUACGGGAGGCAGCAGUGGGGAAUAUUGGGCAAUGGGCGCAAGCCUGACCCAGCAAAGCCGCGUGAAGGAAGCAGGCUUUCGGGUUGUAAACUUCUUUUAAGGGGGAAGAGCAGAAGACGGUACCCCUUGAAUAAGCCACGGCUAACUACGUGCCAGCAGCCGCGGUAAUACGUAGGUGGCAAGCGUUGUCCGGAUUUACUGGGUGUAAAGGGCGUGCAGCCGGAGAGACAAGUCAGAUGUGAAAUCCACGGGCUCAACCCGUGAACUGCAUUUGAAACUGUUUCCCUUGAGUGUCGGAGAGGUAAUCGGAAUUCCUUGUGUAGCGGUGAAAUGCGUAGAUAUAAGGAAGAACACCAGUGGCGAAGGCGGAUUACUGGACGAUAACUGACGGUGAGGCGCGAAAGCGUGGGGAGCAAACAGGAUUAGAUACCCCGGUAGUC
rnacentral:rRNA from 1 species